AGGAAAGUCCUCUUAGUUCGGCCGCUAUUUUCAAACAGAGUCAUGCUGGCUUACUCAAUCUCUGUAUAGUGGUGCUUAUUGCCGUAAACAGCAGGCUGAUUAUUGAGAAUUUGAUGAAGUAUGGCUUGUUAAUUGGGUCAGGCUUCUGGAGUAGUUCAACAUCAGUAAGAGAUUGGCCACUUCUGAUGUGCUGUCUUAGUCUUCCGAUUUUCCCUCUUGCUGCUUUUCUUGUCGAGAAAAUGGCACAGAAGAAGUAUAUGACUGAACAUGUAGUUGUCACUCUUCACAUAAUUAUAACGACAGCUUCCAUUUUGUAUCCAGUUCUGGUCAUCCUCAGGUGUGAUUCUGCUUUUCUAUCGGGUGUCACACUGAUGAUGUUUGCUUGCAUUGUGUGGAUGAAACUAGUUUCUUAUGCACAUACAAAUUAUGAUAUGAGACAGCUUGCAAAGUCUGUGAAUGAGGGUGAGAAUUCCGAAAUCAACUACUCUUACAAUGUUAGUUUCGAGAGUUUGGCUUACUUCAUGGUUGCUCCAACUUUAUGCUAUCAGCUUAGCUAUCCUCGCUCUGCAUCCAUUCGGAAGGGUUGGCUGGCCCGCCAACUCAUCAAGCUGGUAAUUUUUACAGGAUUAAUGGGAUUUAUCAUUGAGCAGUAUAUUAACCCGAUUGUGCGAAGCUCACGACAUCCAUUUGAAGGAAACCUUUUAUACGCCAUCGAGAGGGUAUUGAAGCUUUCAGUUCCAAUUUUAUAUGUCUGGCUCUGCAUGUUCUACAGCCUCUUUCAUCUUUGGUUAAAUAUACUUGCGGAAGUUCUGCGAUUUGGGGAUCGUGAGUUCUAUAAAGAUUGGUGGAACGCAAAAACAAUUGAUGAGUAUUGGAGACUUUGGAAUAUGCCUGUACAUAAGUGGAUGGUUCGUCACAUCUAUUUCCCAUGCUUAAGAAAUGGCAUACCUAAGGGAGUUGCAAUGGUGAUCUCUUUCUUUAUAUCUGCUGUUUUCCAUGAGCUGUGUAUUGCUGUUCCUUGUCGGCUAUUCAAGUUUUGGGCAUUCCUUGGAAUCAUGUUUCAGAUUCCCUUGGUCAUACUAACGAACUUCCUGCAAAACAAGUUCAAAAACUCGAAUGUGGGCAACAUGACAUUCUGGUGCUUUUUCUGCAUUGUUGGUCAACCAAUGUGUGUGCUUCUGUAUUACCAUGAUGUGAUGAAUAGAAAUGGUAGCUCAAGUUAAAGCUUCAUCGUCGAUCAUUUUGUUGGACCGCGACUCACUAGUGAGUAUCGCAGUUUUGAACUAUCUGAUGCUUUACUUAUAUGCUUGAAAUGGAGAAAAUUCUUUUCUAAAAUUUGACACCAAGGAAUUGAACAGAAUUGUUGCUUUGUAUUAUAUCUUUCUUUUGAUAUUUAAGAAAUGUAUAUCAUUUUUU
rnacentral:misc_RNA from 1 species